rnacentral:rRNA from 1 species
CCUACGGGUGGCAGCAGUGGGGAAUAUUGCACAAUGGGGGAAACCCUGAUGCAGCGACGCCGCGUGAGUGACGAAGUAGUUCGGUAUGUAAAGCUCUAUCAGCCAGGGAGCAAAUGACGGUACCUGACUAAGAAGCCGCGGCUAAAUACGUGCCACCAGCGGCGGUACUACGUAGGGGACAAGCGUUAUCCGGAUUUACUGGGUGUUAACGGGGCGUAGGUGGCAUGGUAAGCCAGAAGUGAAAACCCGGGGCCCAACCCCGCGGAGUGCCUUUGAAACUAGCAGGCUGGAGUGCUGGAGGGGUAAGCGGAAUGCCUAGUGUAGCGGUGAAAUGCGUAGAUAUUAGGAGGAACUCCGGUGGCGAAGGCGGCUUACUGGAGAGAAACUGACACUGAGGCUCGAAAGCGUGGGGAGCAAACAGGAUUAGAUACCCGUGUAGUC